AUUCCAUGAUGGGGCCAUUCUAGAAUGUAGUCUUGUUAACGCUCUCAUGCUUCUGGAACGGAUUCAUCAUGUUGUUACUGAAAACUUGUAUUCUUCCCACGGAGAGC
rfam:Sorghum bicolor cultivar BTx623 chromosome 10, whole genome shotgun sequence.